ACAUGUUUCAGGUGCCCUUAACCCUGUCGCUGACGCUCUUUCACGCGUCCAUGCCACCUUAGUCACACCCUCUUCCGUUGACCUUAAUGAUUUGGCUGCGGCCCAGGCGCGAGAGCCUGAUUUCCAAACUUCUUUACAACGUUGCUCCUUGAAGCUACGCGCCAUUCCGCUGCCUAAUGCAGACGGAACCAUCCUUUGCGAUAUGACUACAGGUAUUCCGAGACCUGUAGUGCCACUAGCUUACCGGCGUGCUGUCUUCAAUCAGCUUCACAACCUCUCGCACCCAGGUAUUCGCGCCACGGUUAAGUUGGUAACGGAUAGGUUUGUCUGGCCUAAGGUUUAACUCUGACGUUCGUAGUUGGGCACGCGCUUGCCUACAGUGCCAACGUUCCAAGGUGCAUAAACACACACGAAGCCCAGUCUCCUCAUUCGGUCUUCCAGAUGCCAGGUUUUCGCACGUCCACUUAGAUUUAGUUGGACCCUUGCCGCCUUCACGUGGCUACGUUUACAUUUUAACCUGUGUCGACCGAUUUUCAAGAUGGCCGGAUGCCAUCCCACUGAAGAAUUGCUCCUCUGAGGCUGUCGUGCAAGCUUUCUUGGAACGUUGGGUGGCCAACUACGGAUGCCCUACAACCAUUACGACGGACCGCGGUUCACAUUUCGAAUGCUCAACAUUCGAAGCUAUGACGAACUUUCUUGGAUGCCGACGCAUUCGUACCACGGCAUACCAUCCGUCCUCGAAUGGUUUAGUGGAACGUUUCCACAGGCAGCUUAAAGCUUCGCUUUGUGCCACCACUAAUCCGGCAUGGAGUGAAGUCCUCCCUCUUGUACUUCUAGGGAUUCGAAACACACUGAAGGCUGACCUACAAUGCACCCCGGCAGAAUUGGUUUAUGGCUGCACAUUGCGUCUGCCUGGUGAAUUUGUUUCGCCCCCUUCAUUAACGUCUUCUCUUCCUCGACUUUUGCUUCUAAAUUAUCCCAAUAUAUGCGGCAAAUACAACCAACACCUCCCCGUGAACAAAAUAGGCCAGUGCAAAUGCACAAGGAUUUGGCCACCUGUUCACAUGUACUCGUCCGGUGUGAUGAAGUACGCAAGCCGCUUCAGCCACCUUACUCGGGCCCCUUCAGAGUGCUUCGACGAGCAUCGAAGCAUUUCACGAUCGACCGUCAUGGUCGUCAUGACACCGUUUCCGUCGAUCGUCUCAAAGUCGCAUAUGUUGACGACGACAUGGCCCGAGCUUCUCCGCAGGCAUCUGCAACAGCCCCCGUUUUCCCUUUUCCCAAACAUCCAUCACAUUUGCCGGCACCCCUACACCACCUGCCCCGCGCCACACGCGAUCAGGACGUCGCGUCCAUUUCCCAGCACGUUUUGUUGAAGUUGUUUACUACACGUAGUUUGUUUUCUUUCCCAGUAACCUUCCCAUUUCAGAAAUAAACAAAAAAACGCAAAACACAAAAACGACAAAAAAAAAACAUUUUACGCAACACAACGUGCAGUUCAAUAGCCACUGAAUGGUUACAAUGGUGAGCCUGUAUAUAUUUUCUUUUGCUCGCCAGGUACUCAUUUUCUUUCUACAUUAUAGGUCGCGCGCAGGACACGGUGGGGAGAGAGCGCAUCCCCAGUUGUCAGUUGCGAGCAGGGGGAAUACCUAUCUCCAUCUUGUUUCUCUUGAGUUUUGGUGGUGGUAGCCCGCUUCCGACAGACACACCUUCAGGACGCAUAGGACGAUCCGGAUAUUGAAGCAGACGCGACCCUCUUCAUUCGUCACCAACCUCUUUAAUCGUGCACCCCCCCCUACGUAGCGUAUGCGAGUACCUCCUGCUCGCCCAACUUCACCUCUGCGAUACUCAUUGUGUCUUCUAAGCUGCAGUGUUCUAUUGUUUUUGCUCGAAGGCUUUCCAGCUGAAGCUCCAUAGGAGACAUCUGUAGAGAUCACUCUUGGUUUUGCAACGUAUUCCAACUGUGUUGCUUCUUAUUUUUUUGCGUGUGGCAUCAUUGCGAUUAUUUGUAUGCAGGUCUGCAUUCCUCUCGUUUUGUACGACCGUCCAAGGUCAAAUUAAUUAUAACAACUUCCGGUCGCUUGCUGCUGGUUUGUCAUCAUUUGCUUUUGUCGUGCUUCACUUAAAUCUUGCUUUCCCAGUCCACUUGCAAUAAACGUCGUCGCCCAGUAUUUUGGUUUUCUGGUUUUAUCAUUGUGGAGAUCAGGUACAGUUCUAGACGGGAACGUCCAGUUCUCUACAUUGUCUUGACGUUCAAGCAGUCUAAACGGACCGUCAUAGGGAGGCUGUAGAGACAUUCUUCUGAACGUCAGCUCUGAUAAAACACGAAAGGGCAAGUACAAUUCCGGAGAGGGAGCCUGAGAAACGGCUACCACUUCCAAGGAAGGCAGCAGGCACGCAAAUUACCCAAUCCCGGCACGGGGAGGUAGUGACGAAAAAUACGAAUACGGGACUCAACAGAGGCUCCGUAAUUCGAAUGAGUACAAUUUAAAUCCUUUAACGAGGAUCAACUGGAGGGCAAGUCUGGUGCCAGCAGCCGCGGUAACUCCAGCUCCAGAAGCGUAUAUUAAAGUUGUUGCAGUUAAAAAGCUCGUAGUUGGAUCUGGGUCGCAUGGCUACGUGCCGUCGCUCACUUUCUCGGUUGGCUGUUAAGGCCCUGGGUUUGGUGGGUCGGUGUCGUGGUUGUGUGGUCUUUCUGCCGUGUCUGUUUUGCAGGUGCUGACUAGGCCUUCGGGUUUGUCGGCAUGCUUUCAGAUGCCUUUAAACGGGUGUCGGGGGCGGACGGCACGUUUACUUUGAACAAAUUUGAGUGCUCAAAGCAGGCCCUUGUGCCUGAAAAUUCUUGCAUGGAAUAAUGGAAUAGGACUUCGGUUCUAUUUUGUUGGUUUUCGGAUCCGAAGUAAUGGUUAAGAGGGACAGACGGGGGCAUUUGUAUGGCGGUGUUAGAGGUGAAAUUCUUGGAUCGCCGCCAGACAAACUACAGCGAAAGCAUUUGCCAAGGAUGUUUUCAUUGAUCUGGAGCGAAAGUCAGAGGUUCGAAGACGAUCAGAUACCGUCCUAGUUCUGACCAUAAACGAUGCCAACUGACGAUCCGCGGUGGUUCUUUUAUUGUCCCCGCGGGCAGUCCCCGGGAAACCUUUAAGUCUUUGGGCUCCGGGGGAAGUAUGGUUGCAAAGCUGAAACUUAAAGGAAUUGACGGAAGGGCACCACCAGGAGUGGAGCCUGCGGCUUAAUUCGACUCAACACGGGAAAACUCACCCGGCCCGGACACUGUGAGGAUUGACAGAUUGAAAGCUCUUUCUUGAUUCGGUGGUUGGUGGUGCAUGGCCGUUCUUAGUUGGUGGAGCGAUUUGUCUGGUUAAUUCCGAUAACGAACGAGACUUUGGCCUGCUAAAUAGUAUGCCUGUCCUCUGUGCCCGUGCGGGUGGCGGUGCUCGCUGCCUCUUCGGGGGUGGUGGUGCCGUUCGCCGGCGGGUGCUGCGCAGGUGUUUACUUCUUAGAGGGACAAGCGGCGUGACAGUCGCACGAAAAUGAGCAAUAACAGGUCUGUGAUGCCCUUAGAUGUCCGGGGCCGCACGUGCGCUACAAUGACGGUUUCAGCGAGUCUGGGAACCUGGCCCGAAAGGGUUGGGCAAACUGAGUCAUCACCGUCGUGACUGGGAUCGGGGCUUGCAAUUGUUCCCCGUGAACGAGGAAUUCCUGGUAAGUGCAAGUCAUAAGCUUGCGCUGAUUACGUCCCUGCCCUUUGUACACACCGCCCGUCGCUACUACCGAUUGAAUGGUUUAGCAAGGUCCUCGGAUUGGCGCCAUUGUAGUUGUUUCGGCAGCUCGACCGGUGCUGAGAAGACGACCAAACUUGAUCAUUUAGAGGAAGUAAAAGUCGUAACAAGGUUUCCGUAGGUGAACCUGCGGAAGGAUCAUUA